rnacentral:rRNA from 1 species
GACGAACGCUGGCGGCGUGCUUAACACAUGCAAGUCGAGCGGAAAGGCCCUGCUUUUGUGGGGUGCUCGAGUGGCGAACGGGUGAGUAACACGUGAGUAACCUGCCCUUGACUUUGGGAUAACUUCAGGAAACUGGGGCUAAUACCGGAUAGGAGCUCCUGCUGCAUGGUGGGGGUUGGAAAGUUUCGGCGGUUGGGGAUGGACUCGCGGCUUAUCAGCUUGUUGGUGGGGUAGUGGCUUACCAAGGCUUUGACGGGUAGCCAGCCUGAGAGGGUGACCGGCCACAUUGGGACUGAGAUACGGCCCAGACUCCUACGGGAGGCAGCAGUGGGGAAUAUUGCACAAUGGGCGGAAGCCUGAUGCAGCAACGCCGCGUGCGGGAUGACGGCCUUCGGGUUGUAAACCGCUUUCGCCUGUGACGAAGCGUGAGUGACGGUAAUGGGUAAAGAAGCACCGGCUAACUACGUG